rnacentral:rRNA from 1 species
AUGGCACCUAAUGAAGACGAUGAUGACCUGACUAGCUGGACUGUACGUGUCGACACGCAAGACUCCCCCGUGCAGAAUGACCCAGUUUAUGUUUUAAAACCACUGGUGGUGCAAACUGCAAGGUAUCCACCACAAGCGCCAAUGAAUGAAAGAGUUACUGGACGCAAUUGCAAACCUGUGCCGCGCUUGAAGAACUGUCAACACCAAUCAAGCGUCUUGCAGACAAUCAAUGAGGUGGACAAUGGACCUGCACAAGAUGAUGAUGAACACAUGGAUGCUGCCGAUGUAAGUGAUGAUCACAUUGCAUGUUGGACAAAGAUUGUUCCUCAAUAUGACUGCGAGCGAGAACUCGAGCAAGUCUUUGUUCUAGGGCCUAAAACACGAUGUCCGCGAUAUCCACAAGCUCAAGAACACCAGUCUAGUCAGAGAGAUGAUAAGGCAGGUGCAGAUACUUGCAUAGAUAACUGUGAGAAAGCUAGAACUGCACGUUGUUCUACCGCCCCAAAAAAGAUAACAAAAAUGAUGUUUUGCUAA